rnacentral:rRNA from 1 species
AACGAACGCUGGCGGCAGGCUUAACACAUGCAAGUCGAGCGCAGGAAAUCGACGGAACCCUUCGGGGGGAAGUCGACGGAAUGAGCGGCGGACGGGUGAGUAACACGUAAAGAACCUACCCUCAGGUCUGGGAUAACCACGAGAAAUCGGGGCUAAUACCGGAUGGGUCAGCGGACCGCAUGGUCCGAGGAUGAAAGGCGCUUCGGCGUCGCCUGGGGAUGGCUUUGCGGUGCAUUAGCUAGUUGGUGGGGUAGUGGCCCACCAAGGCGACGAUGCAUAGCCGACCUGAGAGGGUGAUCGGCCACACUGGGACUGAGUCACGGCCCAGACUCCUACGGGAGGCAGCAGUAGGGAAUCUUCCACAACGGACGAAAGUCUGAUGGAGCAACGCCGCGUGAACGAUGAAGGCCUUCGGGUCGUAAAGUUCUGUUGUAAGGGAAGAACAAGUGCCGCAGGCAAUGGCGGCACCUUGACGGUACCUUGCGAGAAAGCCACGGCUAACUACGUGCCAGCCGCCGCAGUAA